rnacentral:rRNA from 1 species
GACGAACGCUGGCGGCGUGCUUAACACAUGCAAGUCGAACGGAAAGGCCCCGUUGGGGGUACUCGAGUGGCGAACGGGUGAGUAACACGUGAGUAACCUGCCCUUGACUUCGGGAUAACUUCAGGAAACUGGGGCUAAUACCGGAUAGGAAUCCUUGCUGCAUGGUGGGGGUUGGAAAGCUUCGGCGGUUUUGGAUGGACUCGCGGCGUAUCAGCUUGUUGGUGGGGUAGUGGCUUACCAAGGCGUUGACGGGUAGCCGGCCUGAGAGGGCGACCGGCCAUACUGGGACUGAGAGACGGCCCAGACUCCUACGGGAGGCAGCUGUGGGGAAUCUUGCACCAUCGGCGGAAGCCUGAUGCAGCAACGCCGCGUGCGGGAUGACGGCUUUCGGGUUGUAAACCGCUUUCAGCAGGGGCGAAGCUUGUGGUGACGGUACCUGCAGAAGAAGCACCGGCUAACUACGUG